CUACCUUGAAAUCAAAUUGGAAACUGAGUGGAAAAAUAGUUCUCCUCUUGACCCUCUCUGCGUUUAUACUCCAAUCUACGCCCAACGCAUGGCUUUGUUGUACACUCUGUAUGAGUGCCCUCUAUAAUUAAACCUUUAUUCAAAUCUCCUCCUGCCUUCUUCAUCACCCUUGGUUAGAUCAAAACAGGAGAGGCAAAAAAAAAAAAGAAACUUGUCUGGGGUGCAGAAGCAGAGAGGAAGAGAUACUAUUUAAUGAAGCAGGCUAACGGUGGUGGGGAGAGAAAGUCUCAGUUCUCCCAUCUCAGAAACAUUGAGCCUGGAAAUAUUGCUGAAAUCACAUUUGGGAACAAAGCUCCGCUUUAAGUAGGCUCACCCAUGAGUGUUGCUAAGCAAUGGAGAGAAGGCGAGAGAGGGAGAGCGCCUAACUUCAGGAUUAGAAGGAUAGAUAGAAGGAAAACCACUAAGGCUUCUAUGUAGCCUUAUUUAAAGUCAGCUUCCAAGUCCUAUGUUUUUCUUGCCUGUCUUCUGACCUAUUUGCACCACAAUUAGUCAAAUAUGGUUCAGUAUCACCACGCAUCCAGCACAGAGUUGCGCCGCGUCCUGGAGCUCUGGCACAAGCAGUUACGCACCAGAACUGUCAACAUGUCUCCACUUUGAACAGAAAGGAAGGAGAGAAGAAGAAAUCUUUCCUAUCAGAAGCAGCAGGGGUUGCUGCAGGAAGAAGAUAAUUCCCCCCUGCUGCUCUACUGACAGCCAUCGAACUCCACAGGAGGAAAAUGGCGUUUUAAUCAUGGAAUUGAAAAACACGGCAGUUCCCAAAUCUUCAUCUCACCUUGGUUGAUUUACAUACAUUUAGGACAAACUGGCUCACUGUGGAAUUAUGUUGUAUGUGGAAGAUAAGAGAGGAGCGAAGAAUUCAGGGUAAUUCCUAGUUUGUAGCUGUGUGUGUAACCCCUCCAGAGCAUCCCAGAUAAACCAUGACCACUCUUCCUUAAAAGCACUGUGCAGACUUCCUAAUUUCAAGUCAUGUGCCUUAUAGACUCAGUGCUAUUUAAAAAAAAAAAAGUAAAGAUAAAAAGAUAAGCACCUUAUUAACAAUUGCAAGUCAAGGCCUGAUCAGGGUCCACUGAAGUCAUCAGAAAACCCACGACAGAUCCAGGGAGUUUUGGAUAUUUCAUCAGACUGUCAUUAUAACAAAGGCACCCCAGAAUGGGCCGGCUAAGAUGAAUGCAAAUCUUGCAUCAGAAACAGCCAGGCAUCCCCAAAAUUAAAAAUUUGAGCACACAGCAGAUUAUAGGCAGCAGCUUUGGGCAUGUGGCACAACAUCUGUUACAAAAACACUAGAAAGCAGACCUGCGGCAAACUGGACCUCUGCCAGCUCUCAGGAUUUUUUUUUUUUCCCCCCUUGACAAGGCUGUCAGGAAAUGGACAGAUGGCAGCCGAUGCACUCGCAGGAUAGUUAGUUCAGUUAACAGUCAAGUAUGCUAAAUGAUUUCAGAUUCACUCCGCACCAGGCAUUGUAUUUUGUACUGAAUCAUUAACGCUGUGUCCUAAUAGGAAUAUAGUUUGGUAGCAAGAAACUGGCAGAUAUUGUAUUUCACAAAACACUUUCUCUGGAACAAUUUGUCAGGGAACAUUAGAACUGCCUUCAUGAAUAAAGCCAGAAUUGGCCAAGUUUACCAAGCUGGUUCGUGCAUAAUCUUAACUCUACAGUAUUCAAAGAAUAGGGAUUGAAACAAACAUUAAGAUGCAGGGCAGAUAGUAGCACAAGUUGUUCCCACACGUGCACUCAGCUGAAAAAGCAGCGUUAGCCAUGCACAGCGUGUGGGAUACCUUAUCACUGUGGCUUGUCUGCCUUACCACGUGCAAGGCACUGAGCUCUCCCAGCAGGCCAGUUCUCACAAGCAGCCCUCUGGAUGGGAUGACAUGCUUUUCCCCCCGGCACACUGAUGUGAAGAUCUGACCCAGGAAAAUUGGUAUUUCUUGGCUUUUAUAAGUGCAACCUAUAAAUGAAGUUGAGGCACUAUAUCUUCACGAGGCAAAUAACUCAGCAUUGAACACUGGUGAACAGCACACAGGUGGACUUCUAGCAUUAAGAGAACUAUCUUUUUAUUCUUCCUCUGUAUGAUCAUAUCUUCAACAGUGUGUUUUGUAGACUUAGUGAGAGGAUUACUCCAUCAUCUUGCCUUUUUUUUUUUAAAGUAGCAGUACAAGAGUAAUCUUUGGAAGAAAAUAUGUUUGAAGAAAACUAAAAGUUGCAAAGCAUUACUGGUGCCCGAACAACAAAGGAAUGACCUACAGAGUCAGGUAAUGGCCUACAGCAGAACUGCAGGUGAUCUGACUUGCAGUAACAAUAUUACAUCAUGCUGUAAAAGACUUGUACCUUGGAUCCCACUCAAGAGCCCUCCAAAAGCACAGAUCUGACAGCGGAAUUUAAGAGCAGUCUCUGAAGUCCUACAGAACUGACAAACUACUCAUUUAGAGAGGCUCCACGCUGGGUGACUCCCAUGAUCUCCUUUUCUUUACAAACAGCAUUUCUUUUAAAAAGGCAUUGCCACCACUGCUGGUUUCAACACCACAAUCCCAGAGCAGCGGCAACAGAGCCCACAAAGGAACGUGGUCCUGAACAAGUCAACAGGCAUGGGUGAAAGGUCUGCAAGCAACGUCACGCUCCAAACCUCAACAGUUCACUUUUCUUUUGCACCAGUAUUUCUAUUUUUGCUCUGUGGCAAAAAUACCCAGAGGCAUUGGUUGGAGGGAUUUUUAAUCUAUGAUUUGUUUAACUUCAAAACAAUAAAUAAAAACUAAAAAUCAAUUAGAGCAGCCAGGAAGAGAGAGUGCUGCUUUUGUUGGCUGGAAAUGAAGAAGUUUAAUGUAUCCUUUCCUAAACAAACCUCCUCUAUACAUGAUUUUCUUGUAACAACAGGCAGGCUUCAAAAGACAUUUGGAGGUUUGGUUCAGGAUAGGAACCCAAAAGUUGAGAAAAUUCAGUUCUCUGCAAAACAGAGCUGGAAGUCUUGAGAACAGCAUGAGUGAAAUUUCCAGUGCUUCCCAUGUCUGCUCAAGCAGAGACAGUACUGUUAAAACAACCUCUCAGGCUGCUUUUCAGGAAACUGGCUAUUUUCUGCUGAACCAGCCAGAAACCAUUAAGUUCAAUACAUAAAAUAAUGAAAAGAGAAGUUGGCUGCCCUCAAAGGUAAACAGAGGUCAAGGUGGAGCUUGGCAUGCAGUUAUUCUUUGGUUAAAGAAAAAAGCUGCUCCAUGCAGAUCUGCUCAAAUUAAAAGAAAUAAUUUACAUAAAGUUUAUGAACUCAUCUGUUCAUCUUCCAGAAGUAAUUCAGUGGAUGAGAUUAUUAGCAGGGCCAUUAGCAGAUCUGAACUCUUUCUAGGAAAAAAAAGAUGAUUUGUAUGUCUAAUAAAAAUGAAACCAUAAUGUUCAGUUUCAAUUUGACCAACUAAUUGUAUAUAUACUUUCCAAAUUAAUAAAAAUGAACUUCAGUAGGUUCUACUCAGCAUCAAACAAGCCAUACACGUGAGAAAAUUAUGAGUUAUCAGUAAGCAAUGAGGUUAAAAUGCAGUGAAUAAAUCACUUCCAGAACCUAGAAAAGAUUCUGCAGGAUAUCUCAUCCAGACAGGUUUGCUAUUCCUUCACUGACAGUACUACAUCCUCUGCAGCCCUAACAGCUCCUGUGUUUAGACACCCAGGGAAAGGGUUGGGCAUAUUCAUAGCAUAAAUGAAUAGCAGGAAUGACAGACAAACAAGAUGUUCUUUCAGAGGCCUUGACUGACCGACCUCCUUCACAGGCCUCAAUACAAAAUCCACUGAAGGAGCGCAGGUGCUCAAAACCAGUAUUUGCAGGCCUCAAGUUUUAGAGCACGUACGUGGAGUUAAUAAAACUACCAGGACUCAGCCACUAAGUACAGUUUUCCUCUUUCCCUUCUCACCCUGCAGACAAUCCCAUUUUAAUUACUGCCUAACUCUCCACAUAACUUCAUUCCUCACUGUAGUCUUCAUUAUUCUCUUUUCUAGCCUCUUUCUCACCCCAAGGCAAGACUGAGAAAGCAAGGACUGUCAGAGAAAGAAGUUGGAGGGGAAGCCCUUCCCCAGAAGCUUGGGACAGAACAGAACAGGUUUUCAGAAAUCCCCUGCUUUCUCAUCUCAGACGGUGCCAGAGCAAAUAGCCAGAGAAAGCAAACACCUGAGCCCACGGCCAGGCUCCCCCUCACACACCCCACCGGCCUCCGCAGGCUGGUGGAUGCGAUCAGACAUGUUCCUAGCUCCAAGGGAUCCCUGAGUGAUAGAUUUUACAUCUCAACCUUCCAAAAAAAAGGUGAAGGUGAUCAAUCAGAAGUGCUAUUUGUUAUCAGUCCUAAGAGCUGCUUACGGUGCUACUGGCGGGAGGUGUAUUUUAAAUUUCAUCACCCACUGGAUAUCUGUCUUCUGCCUCUGUUAAUUCCCAAGGCUGAUCAGAGCAAUCUAGCUAUACCUAUGGCCUAGAGAGAUUUUGGAGCAGUGCAAGUCAAAACACCCUUGCCUUGCAAAAACAUUAAAAAUAGAUACUUUGAUUGCACUUAAAAAGGAAGCAUGCUUUGACCCAGACAAGUCCAGGCUAGAUUGCCCAUGACCUUGACUAAUCUUUUCUUGGCAUGUUUUUGAGUGCAUCAUCUCCCUUGAGCACAGCACAUGCAGCACUCCCAGUUCCUAAUGCAGCUCUUUUUUUUUCCCCCAGGCAUGCUCAGAUGAAGAAUUUGAAGCUAGGUUUUCCUUUAAGGGCAAGGGAGGACUAGAAGUUUAGAUAUCCACAGUAAAAUUCUGGGGACGAAGGAGAAGAGUGUAAAAUUGCAAAGUCCUGAUUGUAUAAGAACAAUGAAUAAGUUCCCAGAGGGAAGAUUAGAACAAGAAAGAGUGAUGAUGCUAGGAAGGAGGAAGCACUGGGAUAGGAAUCACCUCUCAGAAGAAGCUCUGUAUCCCAGAAGCAAGUCAAUUAGGAUUCCUUCCGAAAGGAAGGGUGCUGAGGCUUCAUCACAAAGCAGUAUUAGCCUCUGGCUUUGCACCUUCCUGACCUGCCCCACAAAAGCACCUACAAUCAUCAGUUGAACUGGUUCUGUAAGCAUUUCAGUCCUUGGAAUUUAUUGUUCACUCUUUCUUAGACAAGAUCCCAAUGUAUUUUUGCUGAAUCUAGAUUUAUUUUGUGACUUAACGUGUUUGUGUUAAACCACAGAGACAUGUGACCUAAGCAGUGCCUGCCAUACAACAGGAUGCAGCAGCAUUUAGAUCACCCAGGUCAACUAAACAAGGAAGAACUGGAUACAAUUAUUCCAAAAACCUCAGCUGAGGUGUAAUAAGUUGCCCUAGCCAACAAAUCCUCAUCCUUGCCCUAGAGGCUAUAGUUCAUCAGAUACCUUAAUUCACAGUUAUGCAGCAACUUCUAUCCUAUGACCACAAAAGCCUCUUACAGACUGUACAUACAGAAUAAUUCAUGCAUACAUGCAUGCAAUUCAGCAGAUGUAGCCACACUAAAGUUGAAAGCAAUGUUACAUUCUCGACUCUUAGUGAAGUUUGAGGACAUGCUUUUUUAAGCCAGAUUUCUUCCUUUAACCAAAGAAGCACCACACGCUAAGUGGUAUAAAUUUUCUUAUGCAGGGAAUAAGGUCCUAAUUAUUGCUUAAUUUUGCCAGUUCCUAUGAAUCACCAGGAAAAGAUUAAAGCAAGAGUAAAUGUUGGUUCCUUGUCCUGUUUACAGUAAUCAGCUCAAACAAAGUAACUUGAGUCACUUACAUCAUUAGAAGGUGCAUAUGGUUACAUUUUUCUCAUUAAGUUUGCACAGAAGAAAGGAGAUAGAUGCCUGCAGACAGAACUCCCUGCAAACAACUGUUAGUCUGAUGAAUUAAGGAAGUCUAAGAACUCCAUGCCUGCCUACUAAUGCAAUGCUCUUUUUCUGAAGAUUCAUAUUUGAGCUGUUCCCCAUGACAGGUAUGAGUAGGGUGGCAGUGGAGAGUUAAGAACAACGCAGACAAACAGAAAACUGAGCCUUGCACAGACCAACAGCCUUAUAUUUAUCAGCAGCCAAAGACUUCUGUGGUGCAGCCAAGUAGCCAAUAAGUGAAAACCACCACCUACCAACCUCCCCACUGCAAAGUAUGUUUUAUCCUGAAAGCUGGCUACUAAAUUCAUUUUCCAGGAGAGCCUUAACAUAGAGAGCAAGUAACACUAAACGUACUACAUCCUGCUGGCAUUCCUUUCAUCCCAUAGGAUAAUACAAACUAUUUAAAUCAAGUAUCUAUGCCUUUUUGCUCCAUCAUUCUUUUUCUUAAGUGUCCAGAUGUUUGAUUAUUCCUCUCAUUGGUUAGAAGGAAACUGAGCCAGAAAAUCAGGAUGAAUAGCACGAGGAUGAGUGGGCACCAUUUCAGAAAGUCUGUGCCUUAAACCCAUUAGUAUUCACAAUGUUCAAGUGCCGUGAUACUCAAUUCAUUUUAUUGCAAUAACAAAAUAGCCUGUUUUGCCAUUAUAAGUCAGAUAAUCAAGGAUGUAAGCAUUUUACCUCUAAAAGCUUGCACAGCUAUACCACCAGUUGGUCAUUAUGGGUGUGCAAUAGUACUUAAAUAUUUCUUUAAAAGGGAAGUCCAGGUUUUCUUCCCUUUUGGCUCAACUCUUAUUUACUGAAAAUUAAAGACAUGUUAUCUCCUUAAAAGAAAUUGACAAUUACGAUGCCUUGCAAAAAGAUCUGGCCUUUGAAGUACGAAAUUCUGUUCCAGUGAAAGAAAUGCAGAAUAGUUCACAAACUCAACCAUAUGAAUCUUCACAGAACUCUGGAAUUACAACCACAAAGAGGUGUCUUGGUGUAAUCACCCUAUCAGUCCAAUCUGAAUGUCAAAAAGAGAAAGCUGAAAAGUUUGGGUUCAAAUCUGGCCUGCUUACAGGUCGCGUUAUAAAAUACCUCCACAUUUAUUGUAAAAAACCUCAAAGCUCAUUACUGUUUUCUUUUUCCUGUAAAUAAUCCAUUUCACCCCUUUGCCCAGAAGCAACCAACUUAACAGUGGAAUGCAGCAGCUUGUUCCUAACACAACUAUAUUGAAGCAAAAAAAAAAAAAAAGCUAUAUGCAACCAGAUCUAAAAAGAAAAAACACAAUCAUUCACAUGAGAUUUUGAACAAGAUGAGGGCCCGCUCAGUUCUCCUCCUGGAGAAGAAAAUAUCCCUUGACUUCAGAAUGAAUGACGGGAGAGGUUUUUUGAUCUGUGCAAUGCUGGCAAGGCACAGCCUCGCCUAAGCGCAAUGCCUGGACACUGGCUUGCUCCCAAGCCUGUGAACAUCACAGGCUGAAGGCACAGAAGU
ensembl:lncRNA